GGGUGUUUAGCUCAGUUGGUUAGAGCGUUGCGUUCACAUCGCAGAGGCCACAGGUUCGAGUCCUGUAUCACCCAC
rnacentral:tRNA from 1 species